rnacentral:snoRNA from 1 species
AUCCUUUUGUAGUUCAUAAGCAUGAUGAUUGGGUUUUCACACACGUGUGAAAUGUGCCUCCCUCAAAUCUUGUUAAGAUGUCAGCACGUUACCUGUCUGACA